UACGUAGGGUGCAAGCGUUGUCCGGAAUUAUUGGGCGUAAAGAGCUCGUAGGCGGUUUGUCGCGUCGAAUGUGAAAACCCGGGGCUCAACCCCGGGCCUGCAUUCGAUACGGGCAGACUAGAGUUCGGUAGGGGAGUCUGGAAUUCCUGGUGUAGCGGUGGAAUGCGCAGAUAUCAGGAGGAACACCGAUGGCGAAGGCAGAUCUCUGGGCCAUUACUGACGCUGAGGAGCGAAAGCAUGGGGAGCGAACAGG
rnacentral:rRNA from 1 species